GACGAACGCUGGCGGCGUGCCUAAUACAUGCAAGUAGAACGCUGAAGGAGGAGCUUGCUUCUCUGGAUGAGUUGCGAACGGGUGAGUAACGCGUAGGGAACCUGCCUGGUAGCGGGGGAUAACUAUUGGAAACGAUAGCUAAUACCGCAGAAGAGUAGAUGUUGCAUGACAUUUGCUUAAAAGGUGCAAUUGCAUCACUACCAGAUGGACCUGCGUUGUAUUAGCUAGUUGGUGAGGUAACGGCUCACCAAGGCCACGAUACAUAGCCGACCUGAGAGGGGGGUCGGCCCCCCUGGGACUUGGGCACGGCCCCGACUCCUUCGGGAGGCAGCCGUAGGGGAUCUUCGGCCAUUGGCGGAAGUCUGACCGAGCCACGCCGCGUGAGUGGAGGAGGUUUUCGGGUCGUUAAGCUCUGUUGUUAGGGGAGAACGAGUGUGAGAGUGGAAUGUUCACACUGUGACGGUAUCUUACCAGAAAGGGACGGCUAACUACGUG
rnacentral:rRNA from 1 species